rnacentral:rRNA from 1 species
UACGUAGGGACCGAGCGUUGUCCGGAUUCAUUGGGCGUAAAGAGCUCGUAGGCGGCCACUCAAGUCGAAUGUGAAACCUCGAGGCUUAACCUCGAGCCUGCAUUCGAUACUGGGCGGCUAGAGUCUGGUAGGGGGAUCUGGAAUUCUCGGUGUAGCGGUGAAAUGCGUAGAUAUCGAGAGGAACACCUGCGGCGAAGGCGGGUUGCUGGGCUGACACUGACGCUGAGGCGCGAAAGCUAGGGGAGCGAACGGG